UCCCCACACCGGUGAGAAUGCCCUUAACAUCAACAUAGAUCAAGAGGAGCAGGCAUUAAGCACGCUAAUCAUGUAGCUCAAGAUGUCUUGCUUAACCACACCCCCAAGGGAGACAGCAAUGAUAGAAAUUUAGCAAUAAACGCAAGUUUGACUAAGUUAUGCUACUCUAGGGUUGGUAAAUUUCGUGCCAGCCACCGCGGUCAUACGAUUAACCCAAACUAAUAAAUUUCCGGCGUAAAGCGUGAUUAGAAAUAAAUAAAAAUAAAAUCAAAUAAUAACUAAGCUGUAAAAAGUAGUAGUUAAAAACAAAAAUAAACAACGAAAGUGAUUUUACAACCUUCGAACUCACGAUAGCUAAGACCCAAACUGGGAUUAGAUACCCCACUAUGCUUAGCCCUAAACUUAAGUAUUUUUAUAACAAAAUUACUCGCCAGAGAACUACAAGCCAGAGCUUAAAACUCAAAGGACUUGGCGGUGCUUUAUACCCACCUAGAGGAGCCUGUUCUAUAAUCGAUAAACCCCGAUAAACCUUACCACUCUUUGCCAACUCAGCCUAUAUACCGCCAUCUUCAGCGAACCCUAAAAAGGAACAAAAGUAAGCUCAACUAUCCCCAUAAAAACGUUAGGUCAAGGUGUAGCCUAUAGAGUGGAAAGUAAUGGGCUACAUUUUCUUCUUCAGAAUAUACGGAAGCCCUCAUGAAAUUCUAAGGGCCAAAGGAGGAUUU
rnacentral:rRNA from 1 species